ensembl:snRNA U6 U6 spliceosomal RNA
GCGCUUGCUUUGGCAGCACAUACACUACAAUUGGAACAAUAUAGAGAAGAUUAGCAUGGCCCCUGGGCAAGGGUGACAUACAAAUUCGUGAAGCAUUCCAUAUUUUU